ACUUGCCCCGAGAUGAGUUCUCCCUGAGACUUUAAGUCUCCUGAAGGAACGUUGAAGACGACGACGUUGAUAGGCCGGGUGUGUAAGCGCAGCGAUGCGUUGAGCUAACCGGUACUAAUGAACCGUGAGGCUUAACCUU
rnacentral:rRNA from 1 species